rnacentral:rRNA from 1 species
UACGUAGGGGGCAAGCGUUGUCCGGAUUUAUUGGGCGUAAAGAGCGUGUAGGCGGCCAGGUAGGUCCGUUGUGAAAACUGGAGGCUUAACCUCCAGCUGUCGAUGGAAACCAUCUGGCUAGAGUCCGGAAGAGGAGAGUGGAAUUCCUGGUGUAGCGGUGAAAUGCGCAGAUAUGUCUCAGAACACCGAUUGCGAAGGCAGCUUACUAUGGUCUUAUUGACGCUGAGGCACGAAAGCGUGGGGAUCAAACAGG